CUCGCCUCGCCCCGUCGUCUCCACCCGGCUGGGGGGUCCUCUUAGACGGGGGCGCAGGAUCGAUUCGGUGUGGGCGGCUGAAACUUUCGUCCUCCCCUUUGCGCUGGUUUAUUUUAUCCCUCUGUCUCCUAAGAGGGGACUAGGGUUGGUCGGAGGGAGGGAGAGUUAGGCGACAGAGGGGACUUUCCUCCGAGGCUGGGGUUCCUACCUGGGGUGAGAAAUCCGCGGGCUUUGGGAGCAAGGGAAAUGGGUGGAACAAGGAGUGGGGUCUGAGCCCUGGGAGCACAGAACUUUCUUUUCUAAUUAAGAUAGACAUUACUAUCUGUCUUUAGAGUGAAUUUGUAGUGAACAUUAAUACGAAAGGUGGGUGGGGUGAAUAGAGAGAAGGGAAAACGGGGAGGGUCUCAGGGUAAAAGAAGGGAGAGAGCGCAGGAGGGGCGUGAUAACCCUAAUUUUAAGUCCCUGAUCUGGAAGAGAGGCACGGGUCACACCCUCAUAUUUCGUUUGCGGAGACGUUGGGGGUCGGGAGGGACAAGGUUCAUUUGGAGAAGGGGGGCCAGAGCUGAGUCCAGCUGCAAAGCAGGACUUGCAUUUGGGCUCAGGAGAAUUUAUAGUUGCCAGUAAUGACUGACCAUUGUCCAUGGACCUGCAUAUGCAGGCCUGGGGCCCUCCCUUUCAGAUUUGAGGGUGUCUUUAUUUGGGGGGCACUAAAGAACUGCUGAGAAAGUGGGAUUUUGGGACCACUGAAGAUUCAGGAUGGUGAGAUGGCUUUUGCAUGUGAAGGUUACUUUGGCCUCUGCCCCGUUGGGAGGUGGGAGUAAGACUAGGGGCUCCCUUUGGUAUCAGGAUGGAGUUGAUUUUCUGUUAUCUGGUCAACUGUGGGGGUGCAUGUUUAUUAUGGGGUCUUGAGUUAGUUUGAUUGUUCUGAGUACUGGGGGCUGCAUUCAGGCAUGAGGGGCAAUAGUAAGUUUGAGGCAUGGAGCUGAUUUUGAAGCUACAUUAGUUCAGGGGAUUCUGAUACCUACAAUUUGAAGACUGUCAUCUUGGAAUAUCAGGAGAACCUGCUAGGUGUUCUUCGGGAGGUGGGCGAGGGUUGUGUUUGGGGGAUUCAUAGUCAUUGGUGUAUAUGGACAAUCUGAUUUCAAGUAAAGUAGUCAUGCUGAUUUUGGGGUGCAGUCUGUUUUGGGGUGUCAUAUAAGUUUCAAGGCUCAAAUUAGACUUGUGGGACAUGAAAUUCAAUUUGGAGUUUUUUAUUAGCUUGAGGUGAACCCAUAAUAGGAACCUGGGAGCAAAUUUGAAGGCCUUCUGUGAUUGUGGGUCCUUGAGGGGGAGCAAAGCUUUAUAUUUGAAUGUUGUGGAAACUUACUUUGAGGGGGGAUAUGCUUGUGUAUGUGUAGAUAGGCAAGAAGCUUUUUCCAGGGGGAGAAACGAGGUAGGGCCCAGGAGACUAAAGUUUUGGGGUAUCUUUAUUUUGGGGUGUUUUGUCACUCUUUGGGUGCAUUUGGUGAAGCUGAGGGAUGGAUCAUAAUAUGAGAUUGAUUUGGGAGUUCACUUCAUUUGGAGCACGAAGCUGGUUUGGGAGUCCUUUGCUUAUAGUUCCCUUUCACCCCGGAUUCUAGAAAUCUCUUUCUUUAGUGAACCCCCAAAUAUGCCCAGGAUUUGAAGGCAGCGAUUUGGAAAGGGAGUGUAUCUCCUCUGAUUUCUGUGUGGCCUGGAUAGAUCUGAGGGAGAAGAGGUGGUUUCAGACUCUGAACCCCAGUUCCUUAAGGGAACACACCUCGAUUUGGGGAAGGUCGGGGAAAAUGGGGUGUCUUGUGGUAAAGUGGACACCCCUGACUAGGGCAGUAUUGUUGGAACUGUGGCAAGGAGAGGUGGCAGUGGGGUACAAGGAGGUGAUUCUUAUACCCUGAUUUCCUAGGAUAAGAGCCCCAAACAGAAAGCAGACAGAGGACUGGGAGUGUGGGUGAGAUGGGGGGGAGGGGUUCCCCACGGCAGCAGGGGCUAGGGGGUAAGCCAGGCCAGCUGUGCACGCCUGGGUCCCUGCUCUCUUCGGCUCUCCUCCCCUCUCUCCCUCCCACCGCCCACCCCCCCAACCCAAGGAAAAAAAACUGCCUGUGCAACAGCAAUGGCAGAUUCCAAUCCUCCAGGCUUUCCUAAACCACCACCGAGACCAGCCAGGGGGGAGGGGAAGGGAGGAUCGGGCUUUCCUGCUUCCCUAAGACUGGGGCUAUGAGCUUGACCUCCUGGCCCCUAGCCCUUCAAGGAGUGCCCCCCGGUCUGGAAGCCAGGUGUCCUGGACCCUAGCCCCCGAGCGGGGGGGCCUGGAGAGACGGGGAGGAGGAAGGAGGGAGUGACUUCCAAAAUUGGCAUCGGGACAGAGCAGGGCUGGCGGGAGGCAGGUGAAAGACGGAAUUUUCCUGAAAAAACGGGGGUAUCUGAGGACCCCAAAUUUGGGGAGCUAGUCCAGGACCGUCCUGCCAACAUCCCAGAUUUUUUUGGGAUUUUUUGGAGCCCCCGGGACCCCUCUAGAUGGGGUGAGGAAUGUAGUGUUGGGGGAAUCUGACUGGGGCAUUGCAGCUGCCUCUCCCGCCGAGUUGGAGACGGAUGGGCUGGGACGGGUUUGGGGGGGGGGUGUCCCCAAUUCUGACUGGGAGUGGAGGAGCCCCCUCCUGAGCUCUCUUGUGGGGGUCCCCCCUCCCUAGAGCACUCCCCACUCCCUGAGCCAGCGAGAGGAAGGAGGCCAGCGAUGCGACUGGGGCGGCUCCUUUCUCCUGCACCCCAAAUGUGAGGGAUGCACCCCAAAUUUUGCUCCCUUCAAAAUAGGGGACCAGGAUCUCAGGGGAGAGUAGCUGAGGGCAGAUGGAGUGUGAAGAGUCCCUGAACUGAGGAGUAGAAAAGGCCCAUCUCCUAAUUCUCUUCUGGGAGAGAUGUAUGGAUGUGCAAUGCUACCAGUCCUGAAGGGGAUGCUAACAAAACUUGCAACAAAGUAGGAAAGAUGUUGAGCUGGGAGUCCUGACGAAGAUGGAACAACGGGUACGCAGGAAGGAAGCUGCCCACCCUCCCUUUCUCUGCCAGCGAACCCUCCCUCACACUGUCCGUUCCUUGAUGAUACAGCUGAUGUGAUUAAGAUCGUCCCCAAAUCGCUU